rnacentral:rRNA from 1 species
GACGAACGCUGGCGGCGUGCUUAACACAUGCAAGUCGAACGGAAAGGCCCUGCUUUUGUGGGGUGCUCGAGUGGCGAACGGGUGAGUAACACGUGAGUAACCUGCCCUUGACUUUGGGAUAACUUCAGGAAACUGGGGCUAAUACCGGAUAGGAGCUCCUGCUGCAUGGUGGGGGUUGGAAAGUUUCGGCGGUUGGGGAUGGACUCGCGGCUUAUCAGCUUGUUGGUGGGGUAGUGGCUUACCAAGGCUUUGACGGGUAGCCGGCCUGAGAGGGUGACCGGACACACUGGGACGGAGAUAAGGCCCAGACUACUACGGGAGGCAAGAGAGGGGAAGAUUGCACAAUGGGCGGAAGCCUGAUGCAGCAAAGCCGCGUGCGGGAUGACGGCAUUCGGGUUGUAAUGCGCUUUCGCCUGUGACGAAGCGUGAGUGACGGUAAUGGGUAAAGAAGCACCGGCUAACUACGUG